AACUAUCAACAACGGACUCUUGUUCCCGCAUCGAUGAAGAACGCAGCGAAACGCGAUAGUUAAUGUGAAUUGCAGAAUUCAGUGAAUCAUCGAGUCUUUGAACGCACAUUGCGCCCAUUGGUAUUCCUUUGGGCAUGUCUGUUUGAGCGUCAUU
rnacentral:rRNA from 1 species